GACGAACGCUGGCGGCGUGCUUAACACAUGCAAGUCGAACGAAGUGGAGAACGGGUGAGUAACGCGUAAUCAACCUGCCAUUCAGCGGGGGACAACAGUUGGAAACGACUGCUAAUACCGCAUACUGAAGGAGGGGAUUGCGUCUGUUUUGCUAGUUGGAGGGGUAACGGCCUACCAAGGCGCUGAUCAGUAGCCGGUCUGAGAGGAUGCACGGCCCCAGUGGGACUGAGACACGGCCCAGACUCCCACGGGAGGCAGCAGUGGGGAAUCUUCCGCAAUGGACGAAAGUCUGACGGAGCAACGCCGCGUGAGUGAUGACGGCUUUCGGGUUGUAAAGAUCUGUUAAUCGGGACGCGGUACCGGAAUAGAAAGCCACGGCUAACUACGUGCCAGCCGCCGCGGUAAUUC
rnacentral:rRNA from 1 species